rnacentral:rRNA from 1 species
UUAAGGUCCCAAAGUGUGCGUUAAGUGGAAAAGGAUGUGGGAUUUCGAAGACAACCAGGAUGUUGGCUCAGAAGCAGCCAUUCAUUCAAAGAGUGCGUAAUAGCUCACUGGUCGAGAGGUCCUGCGCCGAAAAUGUCCGGGGCUGAAACGCACCACCGAAACUAAGGGAUCCGUAAGGAUCGGUAGAGGAGCAUUGCAUGCGGGACGAAGCAGUACCGUAAGGAGCUGUGGACUGCAUGGAAGAGAGAAUGCCGGAAUGAGUAGCGAGAUAGAGGUGAGAAUCCUCUAGGCCGAAUAUCCAAGGUUUCCAGGGUAAAGCUGAUCUGCCCUGGGUAAGUCGGGGCCUAAGGCGAGGACGAGAGUCGUAGCCGAUGGACAACAGGUGGAGAUUCCUGUACUGCGGUAUGACAGAACUGUGGGGACACGUAAGGAAAGCGGAAGCCGGGAAUGGAAAGCCCGGUGCAAGCGGGGUACCAGUCACUUUGGCAAAUCCGGGUGGCAAUGGGAAGCCGUGAUGCGGAGCGAAAUACAAGUAGCGAAGUCCGUGAGCCAUGCGUCAAGAAAAGCCGCUAUUGUUUAUACCGUACCCGUACCGUAAACCGACACAGGUGGAUGAGGAGAGAAUCCUAAGGCCGGCGGAAGAAGCAUUGUCAAGGAACUCGGCAAAAUGACCCCGUAACUUCGGGAGAAGGGGUGCCUGCGAGAGCAGGCCGCAGAGAAUAGGCUCAAGCAACUGUUUAGCAAAAACACAGGUCUAUGCGAAACCGAAAGGUGAGGUAUAUGGGCUGACGCCUGCCCGGUGCUGGAAGGUUAAGAGGAGAGGUUAGCGCAAGCGAAGCUUUGAAUUUAAGCCCCAGUAAACGGCGGCCGUAACUAUAACGGUCCUAAGGUAGCGAAAUUCCUUGUCGGGUAAGUUCCGACCCGCACGAAAGGCGUAAUGAUUUGAGCGCUGUCUCGACAAUGCAUCCGGUGAAAUUGAAGUACCAGUGAAGAUGCUGGUUACCUGCGCCAGGACGGAAAGACCCCAUGGAGCUUUACUCCAGUUUGAUACUGGGAUUCGGUACUGCAUGUACAGGAUAGGUGGGAGACGAAGAAGGAUGGACGCCAGUCUGUCCGGAGUCGCUGUUGGGAUACCACCCCUGUAGUACUGGGUUUCUAACCAGUUACCAUGAUCUGGUAAUGGGACAAUGUCAGGCGGGGAGUUUGACUGGGGCGGUCGCCUCCGAAAGGGUAUCGGAGGCGCUCAAAGGUUCCCUCAGAAUGGUUGGAAACCAUUCGAAGAGUGCAAAGGCAGAAGGGAGCUUGACUGCGACACCGACGG